ensembl:lincRNA
ACAGCAGCUCACCUGCACUGUCCAGAGUCCUCACACACACACCAAACCAGCAGAGACAGUAACAGUCACGUCCUAUGUGUUCAGUGUGCUGAACUCCACAGGAAACCAAAUGUCACAUUAUGUGGAGUUAUGACUCCGGAAUGACUGUCAUCAGGAUACUGGCAGUCCGACUCCUCUUGGCCUGUCUCACUGUGUAGCUCUCUCCCUGUCUUAUUCUCAUGAAUUUUUUAGAUGCGAUUUUAGAAAGCAAGGCCUAGUGAAAUAUUGAUAGUGAUGAGGUUAAUUUUUCUGCUCUCAUUAAAGGCUUUGCAACAUGAAUCAUUGCGGAGAGAUGGCGGGGGAUUAUGAGCUAGAGAGAUUAUAUCAGCGUGACCAUAAGAAUUCUGAGCCUUUAUAUAGUGCCUUUCAUCCCAAAGGUCCACACAUACACAAGAGAGGACCCACUUCACCCCUCACUGGACACGGAUCGGCGAGGAGACAGAUAGUUCUGAUCAGAGCAGAGUUCAGUCCGGCUGCCAGAAUUAAAAACGUGACUUUUACCACCACCCAGACACUGACUAACACUCCUGGGACUGUUCACAACCAAGUGACAGCACCUCAGCUUCAUCAAGCAACACAGGCCUUAGAAAUGCAUGACCUGAGUGAGGAGCAGAACCUACAGAUUACCACUCUACACACGACACCUGGAGUAUAUAAGCUACACUCUACAUCUCGAGUGUGUAUAUAUAUAUACUGUGUGUGUGAUCUCUGGGUGACUCUAUCCUCUCUCCAGCUCCAGUGUCUGUUCAGCUGCUCUACAGGAGUGAUGAUGAAGGGUGUCAGUGUGGGGCUCUGGGUGACUCUAUCCUCUCUCCAGCUCCAGUGUCCAGUCUCUGUCUGUAACCCCACUGUCCCCCUGACACAGGACACAGAGGUGCAGACGUGUUGUUACAGACUGAGUGUCUGUUCAGGAGCGAUGAUGAUGAUGAAGAUGAAGAUGUUUUCUCCUGUAUGAAGGGUUAAUGGUCUGUUUUGUUCACUCCUCUCCUCCCCUCCUCUGUUUCUCUCGCUCUGUCCAUCUGUGGGCCCCCACCUCCGCCUGCUUCCCCAGACUCACUCGCCCUCACACCCCGUCGCCAUGGCGAUGCGGCCCGGCCUGUUAUUGUCUCCACUCUCCCAGCCGGGGAGAAGCACACCCACACUCUCCGCAAGAGCGGAGCAGGGCGAGGAAGAGGAGCGAGGAGGGGAGAUCGCAGCUACAGGACGGCGAGAGACAGUGGCAGAGUGGAGGAGUGGGGGGGCGAGACCGCGGUUGCUGUAGCAACAGUGCCAGGCUUCGUCAGUGCGUUAGAAAGGAGAAGAGAGAUGGAGAGAGAGAGGGGAGAGAGGAAGAGGGGAGAGAGAGAGGAGAGGGGAGAGAGAGAAGAGAGAGGAAGAGGGGAGAGGAGAGGGAGGAGAGAGGAGAGAGAGGGGAGAGAGAAGAGAGGAGCGAUGGAGAGAGAGAGAGGAAGAGGGGAGAGGAGAGGGAGGGGAGAGGAGAGAGAGAGGGAGGGGAGAGAGAGAGAGGGGAGAGAGGAAGAGGAGAGGAAGGGGAGAGGAGAGAGAGAAGAGAGGAGCGAUGGAGAGAGAGUGGAGAGGGAGAGGGGAGAGAUGGAGAGAGAGAGGGAGGGGAGAGGAGAGAGAGAGAGGAGUGAGGAACAGGGGAGAGAGAGAGGAGAGGGAGGGGAGAGGAGAGAGAUAGAGGAGAGGGAGGAGUGAGGAGAGGGAGGGGAGAGGAGAGAGAGAAGAGAGGAGCGAUGGAGAGAGAGAGGAAGGGGAGAGGAGAGAGAGAAGAGAGGAGCGAUGGAGAGAGAGAGGAAGGGGAGAGGAGAGAGAGAAGAGAGGAGCGAUGGAGAGAGAGUGGAGAGGGAGAGGGGAGAGAUGGAGAGCGAGAGGAGAGAGGAAGAGGGGAGAGGAGAGGGAGGGGAGAGAGAGAGGGGAGAGAUGGAGAGAGAGAAGAGAGCGAGGGAAGAGAGAAGAGAGCGAGGGGAGAGAGGAGAGAGGGAGGGAUACAGAAAGUGAGAGGAAUGGAGAGAGAGGGAGGGAUGGAGAGCGAGAGGAGGGAGGGAGGGAGAGCAGGGUAAAUGAUACACUCUCCACACCACCAGCGGCCUCAUGUCCGCACUCACUCCUGAUCGUGCUCUUCCUGUGGCUCAGGGCACUGAGGUGAAAUCACGUCAAAGGGAGGCAAAUAAGAAAUCCACACUUCUUAUUUUAAGUGCAGGACUAAGUUCUGCAGGAAUGCAGCAGGUGUGACAAUUUGGAGACAAUCCCUUUAUCCCUCCCGCUGCAAAACCCACUACGUUUUUGGCAGGUGUAUGAAUUUUUGAGACGGUCCCCAGCGGCGGCCCGCGGCGCCUCGUUAGCGCCCCCUCCUGCUCGAUAAUUCAUGAGCGCUAAUUACUGAAUCAAGCGGCUCGGCGGGGGACAGGCGCUGCACUGUGGGGAAACACUGACAUCUGGCGGCGGCCUUGUGCUACUGCACACAGCUGUUCUCCGCGCUGGCCGGUCAUUUUUUAUGACUUUUUCCAUUGACAAAAUCCGCACAGCUCCAUCCAGCAGUCCCUGCUCGGUGUGCAGCGGGAGGAUGAAGGGCGCUUCACAGUGAGGCGUGUGAGAGUUACGGAGCAGUUUUAGGAGGUUUAAUAUGUUACCAGGGCAGGAGAGGAGGGGGUUCGUGAGAUCUCUGGACUGCAGCUGAGCCAGUCACUCCAAAUGGAACCUUAUUCACAGCCAGACCCCUCUCUGUAACACAAUCGCCCCAUGGGGGCGCCACACAACCCGCCAGCCAGUCCCCGAUACGAACUUACACUGUGUGCCACUAAACCCCACUAUUACAUCACUGUGGCCCUGUUCUGACAUCACACACUCCAGACAAAGCAACCUUCCCAGCCAGAAACACGCACUGCGCUGCAUCAGGACAGACGCUUUGCAUCAGUUUAAUAUGUUAGAACAGAUUAAUGGCAAAACAGUGAAUAUAACAUUCUAUCACAGGAUAAUGACCUGGUGUAAUACCUACAAGCAUAUAUGUAUUAGAGAGUUACUGGACAGAGAAUUCUGCAAGAACAACACAGCUGUCUAUGGAAGACAGAGAGACUGUAAAUCUAGUGCUGUCAGUGGAAUAACCCUACAGUGUGAGAGAG